AUCUCCACUUUCAUCAUGGUGUCUUUAUAUCGACACAGAGAAACAGGAAACCUGCCUGUCUCCGUGUUGAUGACCCCUCCCACCCAGGCUGAGGAGGGAUUGGAUGAAGACGAUGAUAAUGUCAUCACUGCUGUCACCACAGAGCAUCUCUUCUGAACUGAUCUGAAAAGCUCAAUUGUUCUCAUAGAUUAGAAACAGUGGAAGCCUCAGAAAGCUUCCCUGUGGAUCUCCACAUGUUCUAGUUUGACCUGUAGAUGGAGGGUGUUAACCAAUUUAGUUUUUAGUCCAAAGAUUUGCGAUGAAAAGAGUUAAACGUCAAGCUACUUGUAAUGCUCCAGCCCGCAGCGUUUUGAAACCUGUUAGUUUACACCAGUGAGAUGAGACGGUGUAUCCUCUACAUUGAGAUGACUCUGGGGUGCUCGUUGAGCCUCCGCUAAAUUUCUGCCAUUUCCAACAGCUGACAGUUUGAAACAUAGAAAUAAAAUAGAUCAUUUCAUUUCUAUAGUUUGCAGCUGAUUUGACUGUUCCCAAACCAGCCUCUGAAAACAUAACCAGCUGAGUCCCAGUGACACCAUCAGCUUGUUUUAGUCGAGCUGAAACGGUUCUUGGGAAGUAAAGGUUUCUUCUCAUUGCAAACUUUUGCUCUGAACUGGACUUUAGAUGAAGAUAGUUGUUCAGGUUCUGCUGUUAGUCGUGUGGUUGUUCAUGUCUUAGAUGUCAAGUUUUUAAUCUCUUCAGAUCAAAUAAAAUAAAAUGAUGAGCAUCUUU